rnacentral:ncRNA from 2 species
CAUAGAUUAAGCCAUGCAAGUGUUAGUUCAGGUAACGAAACUGCGAAUAGCUCAUUAAUACGCUCAGAAUCUAUUCGCGGCGACCAACAGGUCUUAAAUGGAUAGCAGCAGCAACUCUGGUGCUAAUACAUGCGAUUGUUUCUCCAGAUGUGAAUUAUGGAGGAAAAGUUGAUCUCAUCAGAGGCACGCCAUUCGACUGAGUGACCUAUCAGCUUGUACUUAGGGUCUUUACCUAGGUAGGCUAUCACGGGUAACGGGCGGUUACCUUCGGACUGCCGGAGAAGGCGCCUGAGAGAUAGCGACUAUAUCCACGGGUAGCAGCAGGCGCGAAACUUUCCCACUCGAGACUUUCGGAGGAGGUAAUGACCAGUUCCAUUGGUGCCUUUUGGUACUGUGGAUAGGGGUACGGUUUUCCACCGUACCGAAACCUAGCAGAGGGCCAGUCUGGUGCCAGCAGCUGCGGUAAUUCCAGCUCUGCGAGUUUGCUCCCAUAUUGUUGCAGUUAAAACGCCCGUAGUCUGAAUUGGCCAGCAAUGGUCGUACGUAUUUUUACGUUCACUGUGAACAAAUCAGGACGCUUAGAGUAUGGCCACAUGAAUGACUCAGCGCAGUAUGAAGUCUUUGUUUUCUUCCGAAAACAAGCUCAAUGAGAGCCAUCGGGGGUAGAUCUAUCUCAUGACGAGUGGUGGAAUACUUUGACUCAUGAGAGAGAAGCUGAGGCGAAGGCGUCUACCUAGAGGGUUUCUGUCGAUCAAGGGCGAGAGUAGGAGUAUCCAACAGGAUUAGAGACCCUGGUAGUUCCUACCUUAAACGAUGCCGACAGGAGUUUGUCAUUUGUUAAUGGCAGAAUCUUUGGAGAAAUCAUAGUUCUUGGGCUCUGGGGGAACUACGACCGCAAGGCUGAAACUUGAAGGAAUUGACGGAAGGGCACACCAGGGGUGGAGCCUGUGGCUUAAUUUGAAUCAACACGGGGAAACUUACCAGGACCAGAUGUUUUUUAUGACUGACAGGCUUCGGGUCUUUCAGGAUAUUGUUUUUGGUGGUGCAUGGCCGUUGGUGGUGCGUGGGUUGACCUGUCUAGCGUUGAUUCAGCUAACGAGCGAGAUUAUCGCCAAUUAUUUACU